rnacentral:rRNA from 1 species
GACGAACGCUGGCGGCGUGCUUAACACAUGCAAGUCGAACGGAAAGGCCCUGCUGUUGUGGGGUGCUCGAGUGGCGAACGGGUGAGUAACACGUGAGUAACCUGCCCUUGACUUUGGGAUAACUUCAGGAAACUGGGGCUAAUACCGGAUAGGAGCUCCUGCUGCAUGGUGGGGGUUGGAAAGUUUCGGCGGUUGGGGAUGGACUCGCGGCUUAUCAGCUUGUUGGUGGGGUAGUGGCUUACCAAGGCUUUGACGGGUAGCCGGCCUGAGAGGGUGACCGGCCACAUUGGGACUGAGAUACGGCCCAGAGUCCUACGGGAGGCAGCAGUGGGGAAUAUUGCACAAUGGGAGGAAGCCUGAUGCAGCAACGCCGCGUGCGGGAUGACGGCCUUCGGGUUGUAAACCGCUUUCGCCUGUGACGAAGCGUGAGUGACGGUAAUGGGUAAAGAAGCACCGGCUAACUACGUG